UACAGUGGGUGCAAGCGUUAAUCGGAAUUACUGGGCGUAAAGGGUGCGUAGGUGGUUUUUUAUGUCAGAUGUGAAAUUCCCGGGCUUAACCUGGGAAUUGCAUAUGAUACUGGGAAACUAGAGUGCGGUAGAGGGAAGUGGAAUUUCAGGUGUAGCGGUGAAAUGCGUAGAUAUCGGAAGGCACUCCAGUGGCGAAGGCGACUUCCUGGACCGUUACUGUCACUGAGGCAAGAAAGCGUGGGGAGCGAACAGG
rnacentral:rRNA from 1 species